rnacentral:rRNA from 1 species
ACGCUCGACACCUACGGGAAGCAGCAGUAGUGAAUCUUCCACAAUGGGCGCAAGCCUGAUGGAGCAACACCGCGUGAGUGAAGAAGGGUUUCGGCUCGUAAAGCUCUGUUGUUGGAGAAGAACGUGCGUGAGAGUAACUGUUCACGCAGUGACGGUAUCCAACCAGAAAGUCACGGCUAACUACGUGCUAGCAGCCGCGGUAAUCUGAGCGGGCUGGCAAGGC